ensembl:lncRNA
CACACACACACACACACAGAGCCUAAAGGGAACAGUAUUUGUGCCAUGGAGUGUUAACAAGAAUCUGAGGUCCAUAUUACAAAAGCUGCUAAAAUCAUAAAAGGUUGCAGAAUUGUAAUAAAUGAUGAAUAUGAAUUAGUGGUCUGUGAUAGUGUAUUAAUUUGUAGGGAAAAAACACAUGUUGUCCAAGGUGUAAUUGAACCCAUGACCUUUGGGUUGCAGACCUGUGUCAUUACCAACUGCGCCACUGGGAAAGAGAGCGAGUGCCUGGAAAACAGGGUGAUGAGCAGUCAGAAUCAGAUUGCGGUGAGAGGCGAA